AACCUAUCCCUAGGCGGGGGACAACCACUGGAAACGGUGGCUAAUACCCCAUGUGCUGAGGAGCAAAAGGAGGAAUCCACCCAGGGAGGGGCUUGCGUCUGAUUAGCUAGUUGGUGAGGUAAUAGCUUACCAAGGCAACGAUCAGUAGCUGGUCUGAGAGGAUGAUCAGCCACACUGGGACUGAGACACGGCCCAGACUCCUACGGGAGGCAGCAGUGGGGAAUUUUCCGCAAUGGGCGCAAGCCUGACGGAGCAAUGCCGCGUGGAG
rnacentral:rRNA from 1 species